GUUAUUUAUCGUGAUUCAAUCUGGACCGUCCGUGCACGAUUCAAUCUACAUCGUCCGUGCGCGAUGUAAUCUGGGCCAUCCAUGCGCGUUUUUGAUCUGGGUCGUCCAUGCAAGCGGGAACAGAUCUCAGCCGUUCGAUCACGCGCACGUGGAUCGCCCACGUGGCUCCCUCCCGCGUGGCCUCCCGCAACAAGGUCUCUGCCACCUGGCGCGUCCUGGUUGGUCAGGGCUGUUGACCGAACAGUUGGCAUAGCAAUAUUUUUCUAAAUUACAUUUUGACCCAUGAUUUUUUAUUUUUCUUUCAAAAAUAUCUCUAGAACCCAAAUUUUCACCUUUUU
rnacentral:lncRNA from 1 species